GAUCGAUUCCCGCGCGCAACAACUUUUUGCCUUUUUUUUGGUUUUCUAAACUUGAACGAAAACCCUAACAUUUCCUCAUUACAAUUUCGCCUACUUCCUCCACCCUGACUCAGUGAGUCACAAGUCCCAAAACCUCCUCCUGAUCUCCUCCCUUCCUCCGCAGGCUGCUAGGCUCUGGUCAUCACCUCAUUGGCAGCCACUCACCAAGACUCCAGACUCCACUCUCCAUCCCUCAGUGCCGCUCGGAACAGAGUGACAAAGUCAGGAUCAUGUCUCGUCGAUCUUUAUGGAAAGGAUCUUUUGUUGACGCAUUCUUGAUGAAACUGAAAGAUAACAAAGAUCAACUUGCGAACAAAAAGAUUUGGUCGAGAAGAUCUACUAUCCUGCCAGAAUUUGUUGGUAGUGUUGUUCGAAUUUACAAUGGAAAGUCUUUUGUUCGCUGCAAGAUAACUGAAGGAAAGGUUGGCCACAAACUUGGGGAGUUUGCGUUUACGCGUAAAAGAAACCCUCACAACAUAAAGGGCGAUACUGGAUCAAAGAACAAGGGCAAUACUGGAUCAAAGAAAAAGGGCCGUUGAGCUUGAACAGCAUCUGACUCCCUUUUAUUCCUAUGAAGUAUUACCCUCCCGCUUUCUUCUGGAACUAGCUUUUACGCCAUAUGCUGUUAGCAUUAAGGUAUUUGCGUAGGUUGAGAUACAAGAAUUUCAUUUUCGUUGCUUGAUUACCAUUGUUGAAUGUGAAAUCUAUAUUGCAUUUCAAAUACUGUGUUUGGCAAGUGCUAGAAUUUAUUUUUUGGAUUUUGAGAUGUGGAAUGAAUAAUUGAAUCCCACCAUGAAAAUACCAUUGAUUUCUAUUCA